AUUUGCCUAUUUUGUCCUGACAGGUGGUAGGUUUGUGUAUGCAUCUCUUAUCCGUCUGCUUAUCCUCAAGUUUGUGCUGAGCAUGUCAGCCAGUAAGGAUGUUCUUGCACUGGCUUCUCUUGAGGUUGAUCUCUCCAGCAUUGAACCUGGCAGCACUGUAACUGUUAAGUGGCGUGGAAAGCCAGUCUUUAUCAGGCGCCGAACAGAGGACGAUAUCAAGCUGGCAAACAGUGUGGAUUUAGGAUCUCUUCGUGAUCCACAAGAGGAUUCAGCAAGGGUUAAGAAUCCAGAGUGGCUAAUUGUUAUUGGGGUCUGCACGCAUCUGGGUUGCAUUCCCUUGCCAAAUGCUGGUGAUUUUGGUGGAUGGUUCUGCCCUUGCCAUGGUUCCCAUUAUGAUAUCUCUGGCAGGAUUCGCAAGGGGCCUGCACCAUACAACCUGGAGGUGCCCACUUACACCUUCUUGGAGGAGAACAAGUUGAUGAUUGGUUGAGAAUAGCAGUGUAAUAAUCAAGCAAACAGUGGUCAUAUGGGAUCUAAUAAUUUUUUAAUUUUAUCAGAUAAUGCCGAAGACUUGUUACAGAUCUU
rnacentral:lncRNA from 1 species